UGAGGCAGGUAGGCUACACUGGGGAGUUAAAGCAUUGGAGAGGGGAGGAUUAAAAAGUUUUUAUUACCCAAAGCCACAGCAGACAAAUUUUAGAAGUAAAUCGAGGGUAUUUUUAUGCAGCUGAAAGAAUAGCUGUAAAUGACAGGUGUAGCAAAUGAGUAAUCAGUUCUUCAAAAGCAAUAAUUUUAAAUGAAAAGGAAAUUGGAGAAAAUGGCAGCAGGUUUAAUCUUGAUCAAACAGGAAGGGGGAAGCUUUCUGAAAGUAUCCAGGGACACAACAUCGUCAUGCAAGACUUAAACUGAAAAUUAACGAAGAGAAGAAAUGCUACACUGAAGAUUUUUUAAAAAGAAGCAUGGGGAAAAAUAAUGAAUUUCAAACUGUCCCUACUGCUUAACUCAGUGAGAUGACAGCAGCAGAAGAAUAUUGGGGUACCACUAAAGGGCUGCAGAUGUUUAGUUCUUUAACUUAGGGUGCCCUUAUUUACCCCAAAAUGGGAAGAUGUGCUUGCAAGAUCUGCUCUUUCAAGAAAUGAAGUACUUCAAUGGGCCCUGAAUUUCAUGUCCUUUGCGUGAGAGGGAGCACCUUAGCACAGCUCUCCCUUCAUCAUUAAAAUGUCUUGUUCCAUUCCUCAUCUAACGACAGAAAGGCCAGUCAUAAGGACCCAAGAGGAAGGAGGAUACCUGUAACUUCGGGCAUGGGAAACAAUCAAUGCUCCCAGACUAGUAAGCCGGUCUCCAAAACUCCGAAUGACAUGUUAGAAGUACUGUGAUGUCACAGCUAAUGGUUUUGGGGGUAAGAGAGAAGGAAGAUGAGGAUUCUGUUGAACAUUUACAGGUUGACAAUCAAGGGCAGCUCCUCCUCAUCAGGCAUGGAUUGUGCAUUAGCAAAAACAACUGUAAUUUCUAUAGAAGUGCAUUAUCCUGAAUAGAGGGACGUGGUGGCGCUGUGGGCU